AAACAUCUAAGUACCCCGAGGAAAAGAAAUCAACCGAGAUUCCCUCAGUAGCGGCGAGCGAACGGGGAUUAGCCCUUAAGCAUCUUGGAAGUUAGUGGAACGGUCCUGGAAAGGCCGGCGAUACAGGGUGAUAGCCCCGUACACGAAAACAACCUUGAUGUGAAAUCGAGUAGGGCGGGACACGUGACAUCCUGUCUGAAUAUGGGGGGACCAUCCUCCAAGGCUAAAUACUCCUGACUGACCGAUAGUGAACCAGUACCGUGAGGGAAAGGCGAAAAGAACCCCUGUGAGGGGAGUGAAAUAGAACCUGAAACCGUGUACGUACAAGCAGUGGGAGCCCUUCGGGGUGACUGCGUACCUUUUGUAUAAUGGGUCAGCGACUUACAUUUUGUAGCGAGGUUAACCGUAUAGGGGAGCCGUAGGGAAACCGAGUCUUAACUGGGCGUCUAGUUGCAAGGUGUAGACCCGAAACCGGGUGAUCUAGCCAUGGGCAGGUUGAAGGUUGAGUAACAUCAACUGGAGGACCGAACCCACUAACGUUGCAAAGUUAGGGGAUGACCUGUGGCUGGGGGUGAAAGGCCAAUCAAACUCGGAGAUAGCUGGUUCUCCCCGAAAGCUAUUUAGGUAGCGCCUCGGACGAAUACUACUGGGGGUAGAGCACUGUUUGGGCUAGGGGGUCAUCCCGACUUACCAACCCCAUGCAAACUCCGAAUACCAGUAAGUAAUAUCCGGGAGACACACGGCGGGUGCUAACGUCCGUCGUGAAGAGGGAAACAACCCAGACCGCCGGCUAAGGUCCCAAAGUUCUGGUUAAGUGGGAAACGAUGUGGGAAGGCUCAGACAGCUAGGAUGUUGGCUUAGAAGCAGCCAUCAUUUAAAGAAAGCGUAAUAGCUCACUAGUCGAGUCGGCCUGCGCGGAAGAUGUAACGGGGCUCAAACCAGGCACCGAAGCCGCGGAUUCACGCUAAGCGUGAG
rnacentral:rRNA from 1 species